rnacentral:misc_RNA from 1 species
UUUCCGUAGGUGAACCUGCGGAAGGAUCAUUACAGUGGUGGUCGUCCCUUCGGGGUGCGGCCGCCCGAGAUAGAACCCUUGCUUUUUGAGUACCGCUUUGUUUCCUCGGUAGGCUCGCCUGCCAAUGGGGACCCCAACUAAACCUUUUUGUAAAGUAGUAAACGUCACUAAAAUAAUAAAUCAAAACUUUCAACAACGGAUCUCUUGGUUCUGGCAUCGAUGAAGAACGCAGC